rnacentral:rRNA from 1 species
CCUACGGGAGGCAGCAGUGAGGAAUAUUGGUCAAUGGACGAGAGUCUGAACCAGCCAAGUAGCGUGAAGGAUGACUGCCCUAUGGGUUGUAAACUUCUUUUAUAUGGGAAUAAAAUGGGGUAUGCAUACCCUCUUGUAUGUACCAUAUGAAUACGGAUCGGCUAACUCCGUGCCAGCAGCCGCGGUAAUACGGAGGAUCCGAGCGUUAUCCGGAUUUAUUGGGGUUAAAGGGAGCGUAGGUGGAUUGUUAAGUCAGUUGUGAAAGUUUGCGGCUCAACCGUAAAAUUGCAAUUGAUACUGGCAGUCGUGAGUACAGUAGAGGUGGGCGGAAUUCGUGGUGUAGCGGUGAAAUGCUUAGAUAUCACGAAGAACUCCGAUUGCGAAGGCAGCUCACUGGACUGCAACUGACACUGAUGCUCGAAAGUGUGGGUAUCAAACAGGAUUAGAUACCCCUGUAGUC